rnacentral:lncRNA from 1 species
ACGGACGUUUAUAGUGAGUGCGCACGCUCCAUCUGUCCGGCCGGUGAAUGAAGCUGUGGAUGACGUCUGGCAACAUUUCUAACUACUGAGACACUGUGCGCACCCCUGAAACUUAUGAUUCUGCUUUUCAUGAUUUACAAUCUGAAGACAGUCAAGACAUCAAAGGAAUAAAGUAAUGACUGACUUGGAGACAACAUUUCUACGUACUGCCAGCACUGAGGUCUUGCCUAACCUUCCAAAGGCAACAAAAGACAUUUUAGAGGAGAUAUUGCAAUCCAUUGGAGUGGAGACAUAUGAUGAUUUUCAGUUUAUUGAGGAAUCUGAUUUGCUGACAGCAUUAAGGCCAAUCCAAGCUCGAAAAGUCCUUGCUGCUUGGAAGUUAAGAUGCCAGACACCAGAAACAAGCAGCUCACCACAACCUUUCACAGCCUUGCAUAG